GACGAACGCUGGCGGCGUGCUUAACACAUGCAAGUCGAACGGUAAGGCCCUGCUUUUGUGGGGUGCUCGAGUGGCGAACGGAUGAGUAACACGUGAGUAACCUGCCCUUGACUCUGGGUUAACUUCAGGAAACUGGGGCUAAUACCGGAUAGGAGCUCCUGCUGCAUGGUGGGGGUUGGAAAGUUUCGGCGGUUGGGGAUGGACUCGCGGCUUAUCAGCUUGUUGGUGGGGUAGUGGCUUACCAAGGCUUUGACGGGUAGCCGGCCUGAGAGGGUGACCGGCCACAUUGGGACUGAGAUACGGCCCAGACUCCUACGGGAGGCAGCAGUGGGGAAUAUUGCACAAUGGGCGGAAGCCGGAUGCAGCAACGCCGCGUGCGGGAUGACGGCCUUCGGGUUGUAAACCGCUUUCGCCUGUGACGAAGCGUGAGUGACGGUAAUGGGUAAAGAAGCACCGGCUAACUACGUG
rnacentral:rRNA from 1 species